UACGGGAGGCAGCAGGGGGAAUAUUGCACAAUGGGCGCAAGCCUGAUGCAGCCAUGCCGCGUGUAUGAAAAAGGCCUUCGGGUUGUAAAGUACUUUUCAGUCGUGAGGAAGGUGUUAAGGUUAAUAACCUUAGCAAUUGACGUUAGCGACAGAAGAAGCACCGGCUAACUCCGUGCCAGCAGCCGCGGUAAUACGGAGGGUGCGAGCGUUAAUCGGAAUUACUGGGCGUAAAGGGCACGCAGGCGGUUAAUUAAGUUGGAUGUGAAAUCCCCGGGCUUAACCUGGGAAUGGCAUUCAAGACUGGUUAGCUAGAGUCUUGUAGAGGGGGUAGAAUUCCAUGUGUAGCGGUGAAAUGCGUAGAGAUGUGGAGGAUACCGGUGGCGAAGGCGGCCCCUGGACAAAGACUGACGCUCAUGUGCGAAAGCGUGGGGAGCAAACAGGGAUUAGAUACC
rnacentral:rRNA from 1 species